GACUACAUACGAAUGUAUAUAAACAUACUUUAGAGUAUAGAUUCACUCAUUUUGCAACGUAUGUACUCUGUUAUAUUUCUUUACAAACUGAAUUAGAAGUACAUCUAUAACUGGAAAAUAUCAAUGAUAAUGGAAUACUACCUACAAUAUGCUUACCACGAAAGUAGACAAAAUGCUUUCAGGAAAAAUGUCAGUGCUAGAAAUGUUAAAUUGAAAUUUGAAAUGGGAGGAGAGAUAAAUAAACCUUCCAUAAAUUCCCUCAAAAAUUCCAGUAUUAAAGAACUCUGCAGUGUUAGAAUUAAAAUUUUAGUCAGCUGCCUGAAUAUGUACAUUACACGGUCAAUUUCUAAUAGUACCAUACCUUUUUCUGAAGUGCUACUGUGAUUUUUGAGAGUACAGAUCAAUGAGAUUAGCUUAACAAGCAUCAUGGUUCAACUUAUGCAACUACCAACAUCUGUUUUAUUGAAACAAAAGGAACUUAACUCACAAUUUCAUUAGAGACUACAACAGCAGCAAGAAAGCAUCAUGGUUUAGGCUUCCCAACUAUCAAAAUGUGAUCUC
rnacentral:lncRNA from 1 species